rnacentral:rRNA from 1 species
UGCGCAGGCGGCCAAGUGUGUGAGGCGUGAAAGCCUGGAGCUCAACUCCAGAAUUGCACCUCAAACUACAUGGCUAGAGCAUUGGAGAGGGUAGCAGAAUUCACGGUGUAGCAGUGAAAUGCGUAGAUAUCGUGAGGAAUACCAGAGGCGAAGGCGGCUACCUGGACAAUUGCUGACGCUCAGGCACGAAAGCGUGGGGAGCAAAAGGGAUUAGAUACCCCUGUAGUCCACGCCCUAAACGGUGCACACUAGGUCUUGGAGGAUUCGACCCCUUCACGGGCCCAAGCUAACGCGUUAAGUGUGCCGCCUGAGGACUACGGCCGCAAGGACUAAA